CCUACGGGAGGCAGCAGUGGGGAAUAUUGGGCAAUGGAGGAAACUCUGACCCAGCAACGCCGCGUGAAUGAUGAAGGUCUUAGGAUUGUAAAGUUCUUUUUUAAGGGAAGAAGAAAGUGACGGUACCUUAGGAAUAAGCCUCGUCUAACUACGUGCCAGCAGUCACAGUAAUACGUAGGAGGCGAGCGUUAUCCGGAAUGACUGGGCGUAAAGGGUGCGUAGGUGGUAUGGCAAGGUAGUAGCGUAACUCCAAGGCUCAACAUUGGAACAACUACUAAAACUGUUGGACGUGAGUGCAGGAGAGGCAUGCGGAAUGCCUAGUGUAGCGGUGGAAUGCGUAGAUAUUAGGAAGAACACCAGUGGCGAAGGCGGGUUGCUAGACUGUAACUGACACUGAGGCACGAAAGCGUGGGUAGCAAACAGGAUUAGAUACCCGAGUAGUC
rnacentral:rRNA from 1 species